rnacentral:rRNA from 1 species
CGUGAGCAAUCUGCCUUUGGAUGGGGGAUAACAGCCGGAAACGACUGCUAAUACCGCAUAAUGCAGCAGGACCGCAUGAUUUUGCUGCCAAAGAUUUAUCGUCCAAAGAUGAGCUCGCGUCUGAUUAGCCAGUUGGCGGGGUAACGGCCCACCAAAGCGACGAUCAGUAGCCGGACUGAGAGGUUGAACGGCCACAUUGGGACUGAGACACGGCCCAGACUCCUACGGGAGGCAGCAG